rnacentral:rRNA from 1 species
GACGAACGCUGGCGGCGUGCCUAACACAUGCAAGUCGAACGGAAAGGCCCUGCUUUUGUGGGGUGCUCGAGUGGCGAACGGGUGAGUAACACGUGAGUAACCUGCCCUUGACUUUGGGAUAACUUCAGGAAACUGGGGCUAAUACCGGAUAGGAGCUCCUGCUGCAUGGUGGGGGUUGGAAAGUUUCGGCGGUUGGGGAUGGACUCGCGGCUUAUCAGCUUGUUGGUGGGGUAGUGGCUUACCAAGGCUUUGACGGGUAGCCGGCCUGAGAGGGUGACCGGCCACAUUGGGACUGAGAUACGGCCCAGACUCCUACGGAAGGCAGCAGUGGGGAAUAUUGCACAAUGGGCGGAAGCCUGAUGCAGCAACGCCGCGUGCGGGAUGACGGCCUUCGGGUUGUAAACCGCUUUCGCCUGUGACGAAGCGUGAGUGACGGUAAUGGGUAAAGAAGCACCGGCUAACUACGUG